rnacentral:rRNA from 1 species
GACGAACGCUGGCGGCGUGCUUAACACAUGCAAGUCGAACGGAAAGGCCCUGCUUUUGUGGGGUGCUCGAGUGGCGAACGGGUGAGUAACACGUGAGUAACCUGCCCUUGACUUUGGGAUAACUUCAGGAAACUGGGGCUAAUACCGGAUAGGAGCUCCUGCUGCAUGGUGGGGGUUGGAAAGUUUCGGCGGUUGGGGAUGGACUCGCGGCUUAUCAGCUUGUUGGUGGGGUAGUGGCUUACCAAGGCUUUGACGGGUAGCCGGCCUGAGAGGGUGACCGGCCACAUUGGGACGGAGAUACGGCACAGACUCCUACGGGAGGCAGCAGUGGGGAAUAGUGCACAAUGGGCGGAAGCCUGAUGCAGCAACGCAGCGUGCGGGAUGACGGCCUGCGGGUUGUAAACCGAUUUCGCCUGUGACGAAGUGUGAGUGACGGUAAUGGGUAAAGAAGCACCGGCUAACUACGUG